UUCCCUUCUUCACCCGCGCCGAUCCCUGCUCGCGUCGUCGCCGCAUCUCCUUCCUCUUCCUCCUCGUUCUUCUCGACACCGAUCAACGCCUGAGCGUUGACAGCCGAACUUCUCUUCCUCUUCCCCGAGCUCAUGCCGACCCCUCCCCUUCUUCAUUGCGGCGCCGGCGACACUCGAGCCACCGUCGGUCGAGCUCCUUCUUCCUUUUCCUCGCGGACACCAGAAGCUCACCGCCAGACGUGCCCUAGCAUUAAGCCUUCUCCGGGCAUCUCCGCCUGAAGCCGCCAUCUGGAUCGGUGGCCCUUGCGAACAGCCAACCCUAGUGAGCUCCUAUCGACUGUCAAGCCGCUGAUUACUGCUAAGCCUUCUACCAUCGUUGAAGAGCUACCACCACUGGAGAUCAGGGCUCUAUCAGGCCAUCCCUUCGGGCAGCAAGGUCCAGUGAAUCAAUCAGGAAGCAUCUAAGGUUCAGGACUCUAAUUCGAGAUGAGCGUCUCGACGUCGUAUUUGGUUUGAUACGAUCUUCUUUUGAGGCGGGUACUUCUUACUUUGUCUCUUUAGUUCUUUGAAUUUGAUGCAUGAGCUAUGAUCCUGUAUGAGAAGCUUGACAAAACGGAGAGCUGGAAGAAAAAAUCUACUGCUAGUGAAGAAUAAUACCUAUGGAAUGCCGAUCUGAGAAACCCAAAGCGGAUCCAAGAAGAUGAAACCCCGGAUUGUCCUUCCAGUGCAAAGUAUCAAUGGCGAUAAAGAGAUCCGAUAGAAGAAAACCCAGAUUCGGAACUUCCAAGGCUUCCUGCGCACAAGAGACCGAUCAGCACGAUCGUCAGUGACCUAAGACCGGGGUGGGAAUCCUUGGCUAGGCCCUCCGACGCUCAAGUCAGUGAUCUCUUUCGGUGUG